GCUCUCGGACACUAAUAAAUGAGUUAGUAGCCCUGGGCACUGUACGUCCUGUGUUGAGUUCCACAAACCCUGCCUUCGCCUUUGUAAAUCAUCUCCUUUUUAAAGUCUUCACAGAGUAUCAAUUCUGACUAUGCCCUCUGCUUCUUUGUGUGUCGUGUUUUUGAAAUCUUUUCCAAACACACCCUCUAAAAGAGAGCCACUUACCAUUUUUUCUUCUCUCUCUUUUUUUUGAGACUGAGUCUCACUCUGUCACCCAGGCUGUAGUGCAGUGGCGCGAUUUUGACUCAAUGCAAGCUCCACCUCCCAGGUUCAAAUGAUACUCUUGCCUCAGCCUCACGAGUAGCUGGGACUACAGGGACCUGCCAACACGCCCAGCUAAUUUUUGUAUUUUUUGUAGAGACGGGGUUUCACCGUGUUAGCCAGGAUGGUCUCGAUCUCCCGACCUCGUGAUCCGCCCACCUCGACCUCCCAAAGUGCUGGGAUUACAGGUGUGAGCCACUGCGCCCGGCCACAUUUUCUAAUUAGAAUUUACAGUUUUGUUUUUGACAUUUAAAUCCUUAAUCCACUGGGAGUUACUUUCAUCUUUUUCCAUAUGGACAACUAUUUUUUUCUAGCUCUACUGAUUGAGAGGUUUCCCCUGUUUCCACCAACCUGCAAAGCCAUUGGUUCCACCCACACAAAAAUUUGUUCCUGAGUUCUCUGUCCAAUCCUGGUGCCCAUCUGUUUAUCCAGGCAAAAAUCUCACAUCACUUCCACUGCUAUAAUUUCUUAACAAUCCCAACAUGCGGUGGAAAAAUCUCGCUCCCUCUUCAGAAGUGUCCUGGCUAUUCCUGUUUUUUAGUCUUCCAUAUGCAUUUUAGAAUAAUCACAUCAAGUCUCACGGAACACAUUUUUGGGAUUUUGGUUGGACGUCCCCCAACCCCUGUCCCUGCCUGGCCAUGCUGGGGAGAUGCCCACCUUCUCCAGGGGCUUCACUGCAAGGGACAGGCCUGACACCAGGAUUCUCCAAGAACUGCCUGCGUCUCUUCCUGCUGAGCACUCACCUCACCGAAACCACAACAGGGACAACUGACAUCUUCACAAUAUUUAAACUUCUGAUCAAGUAUCUUCCGAGUCUUCAUAUUCCCUGCUGUGGCCCCACCUGCCCAGGAAGCAAGACAGACACCUGUGGUGCAGGCCCCAGACUUGAGGAAUCUGCUACCGCUUCUUGGAACCCAGACACAGUCCUAAGCCUGCUCCACCUGCUCCACCCCAGGACCUUUGCCGGAGCUGCCCUCGGUCCUGGAUGCUCUCUCCUCCCUGCGCACCCCACAGCCCAUUCCUCCACAGCCCAUGAGCCCUCCCCUGGUCCCUGCAAUGAGCCAUGGCCACUCCCCUGCUCCCCACACCUGUGCUCCAAGGCCCCCCAGGGACCUGGCACGUCCGUCUCUUUGGGGGCACUGGUUUGAGCCUGCCCCUACCAGAGGGCACAGAGCCUCCGGGACCCUGGUGGAGGGACAAACAGGGCCGAGCAGAGCUCCAUGUGGACGCUGGGCGCUGCCCUCAGAGCACCUGUGGGUGUCUGUGCAGAAGGGCCCGGGAGGAGGUAAGGCGAAUGGAGAGACUUUUGUUCUUAUUUUCUACGUGUGUUUCUGCAUUUUCUGUUGAUUUUUCUGUGGUUAUCACAUAUUACUCGUGUCUACAAAGGAAACAAUACAACUCUAAUAGAAAGAGGGGAUGCUACAGAGCCUAUGGGGACACAGCCAAGAGGCCAAGGUAAGGCCCCAAGUGAAAUGAAUGAGCAAAAAGAGUUCGUACAGCUACCAGGUAAGCAGUCACAUGUGUUUCAUAGUAGCUGCGUCUCCUACUGAUCACACCCCCAUAGUCCCCAAAGGUGGGGAGUGGGGCAGGAGAGAGGUAGGCCAACUCGGGCCACAGGUGGGCUGGCACCCGCCCUGCCCCAGCCCCUCCCUCCUGGGAGCUGCAGACAGGCCCCCAGGGCAGUGCAUCAGGCCACACCUGCAGAGACCUGCUUCCCCUGGCAGCAGGCACCUCCCCUGACGGAAGACUUAGGAAUGGGUUGGGUUGGGUGGAAGUGGUGCCCCAGGGCAGGUGAGAUGGAAGAGGUGAAAGAGACCUGCACUGCAGGGUUAAUGGACGGGGGCCAGACAGACCAGAAGCCUCGGGAGGAGAAGCCACCAGGACCCAGGACACAUGAACACCCCUGACACACACUCACACGCACACAGGCUGACACACAUGCACACACGGUACAUAGUUACAGAAACACACACAUGCACACACACAGCACAGAGAGACAUGCACACACAUGCACACAAGGUACGGUCACAGACACACACACAGCAGACACACAGACACACCCACUGCACUGCAGAGACACCACCAAACCCUGAUACACACAGACUCACUCCUCCAUCCACCUGAGAAACAAAAGUUUUGCAGAAGUGUGGGAUGACCACUUCUACUCUAUGCUGUUCUCCUUAAUCUUUUUAUUUUUAAAAAAUGUGGGUCAUAAUCCUUUACAUUGAUUUCCUUCCUCACUGCACCGCAAGCACUCAGAGAAGGACUCCAGGUUUGAAGGCAGAUGCUGGUGGGGACCCGGCCAGGUGGCUGGGCGGGAAAAGGUGAGAUGGGGCAGGAUUGGGCCUGGGAAGGCUGAGGCAGGCAGGGAUGAUGCCAGCAGAGGAGAAUCCCAAGCAGGCCCCGCGGCUGCGGCUGGAGAGCUCCAGGGGCGGAGAGGAGGUGGGAGGCAGCAGUCAGGUUGGGAGGACCCUGGCAAGCAAGCCCAGAGAGGAGGGCUGGGAGGGCCGGGCACUAGAAGUGCGAAGUCACUGCUGCCUCCUGGGGCUGCUUCAGAGGAUGGGUGGGGUCACGUGUGGGGAGACCAGGGAGACUGGAGACUACGCUGUUUGGUCCAGGCAUAGGAGAUGAGCCCUGGCCGGGAAGGGACAGUGUGGAUGGGCCAGGCGGAAUCAGAGGGUUUCAGAGAAAGCCGUCGAGCCAGUGCCAUGAGUUUCGUGCACACGAGGAGGGAGCAGGCUGGGGGGGGGUGUUGCUGGUGUGAGGGCUCUCUGGUUGCAGGCAGCGGUCCGGUUGGGUGGGGGCACAGCUGCCAGGAGGAAAGCGCCCAGGGCCUGCAGGUGGGGCUCAGGAUGCUGGCCCUGAAGAAAUAGAAACAGGGUUUUCACCUGGGAGGGAGGAGGAGCCUGGGAACUGGGGAGGAAGAGGCUCUGCUGGGCCGCGUCCUGGGAACAGGGAGACCUGGGAACAGGGAGACCUGGGGACAGAUCUGGCCCUCGCACGCCCCUCCUGUCUCGCGUCCGUCCCUCCGUGCAGCCGGGGCAGGACCCUGCAGGGGCCUUGCGGGCCGGAGGUGCCGGCUUCCUCCUCCAUCCCGUCCCCCCCGCGGUGAAUCCCUUUAUUCAAAUCUCCCCCCUUCCCGCUGCCCCGCCGGACUCGGGCUGGGGUCGUAGCCCGGCGGGCAGCGGUGUUCACCUUCCGCAUAAACCUGGGCUUCCUCGCGGGGCAGCCCCCGGGCCUUAUGCUGGGUCGCAGCCUCGGGCGGUUCCCUCGGGGCGGGACGUGUC
rnacentral:lncRNA from 1 species